CCUACGGGUGGCUGCAGUGAGGAAUAUUGGUCAAUGGGCGCGAGCCUGAACCAGCCAAGUCGCGUGAGGGAAGACGGCCCUACGGGUUGUAAACCUCUUUUGCCGGGGAGCAACGGGCGCCACGUGUGGCGCCACUGAGAGUACCCGGAGAAAAAGCAUCGGCUAACUCCGUGCCAGCAGCCGCGGUAAUACGGAGGAUGCGAGCGUUAUCCGGAUUUAUUGGGGUUAAGGGGUGCGUAGGCGGAGCGUUAAGUCAGUGGUAAAAUUGAGGGGCUAAACCCCUUCCCGCCAUUGAAACUGGCGCUCUUGAGUGGAAGAGAAGUAUGCGGAAUGCGUGGGGUAGCGGUGAAAUGCAUAGAUAGCACGCAGAACCCCGAUGGCGAAGGCAGCAUGCCGGCUUCCGACUGACGCUGAAGCACGAAAGCGUGGGGAUCGAACAGGAUUAGAUACCCUAGUAGUC
rnacentral:rRNA from 1 species